UACGUAGGGUGCGAGCGUUAUUCGGAAUUACUGGGCGUAAAGCGUGCGCAGGCGGUUUUGUAAGCCCGAUGUGAAAGCCCCGGGCUUAACCUGGGAAUGGCAUUUGGGACUGCAAGGCUGGAGUUUGGCAGAGGAGACUGGAAUUCCUGGUGUAGCAGUGAAAUGCGUAGAUAUCAGGAGGAAUACCGAUGGCGAAGGCAGGUCUCUGGGCUAUAACUGACGCUCAUGCACGAAAGCGUGGGGAGCAAACAGG
rnacentral:rRNA from 1 species